rnacentral:piRNA from 1 species
UGGUGAAAUUGCUAGUGGCCAAAAUCCUG